rnacentral:tRNA from 1 species
GCGUGUAAGAUUAUAUCGGGUUUGAUUUGAAGUCAUUCUUUUCAUAUUAGUUUAUGAUGCUCGCU